CCGACCAGCUAAUGGUGACCAGCUAGACCACUGUGACCAAACCAGCUAAUGGUGACCAGCUAGACCACUGUGACCACCAGCUUUUACCAGCUAAACCAGCUAUCCCGACCAGCUAAUGGUGACCAGCUAGACCACUGUGACCAAACCAGCUAGACCACUGUGACCAAACCAGCUAUCCUGACCAGCUAGACCACUGUGACCACCAGCUUUUACCAGCUAAACCAGCUAUCCCGACCAGCUAAUGGUGACCAGCUAGACCACUGUGACCAAACCAGCUAUCCUGACCAGCUAAAGUGUCCAAAACCCCUCUAACCAGCUAACUAAUCCAGCCUAAUAUUGUCUGGCUGGUUUACCAGCCUGACCAGCCAGACCAGCCUUGUUGGUCUAAGCUGGUUUUUUCAGCAGGGACGCUGGCCUUGGGAAGAGGAUGCUCAGCCGACAAGAACACUUGAUACAUAGUGAGGUAAUAUACAUAACAAUUGUAAUCAUUUGCUGUAUAGUGAAUCUUAUUGCAUUUUGUUUUAAAGAUUGUGGCUGUAGUUCAAGAGGAAUUUCCUAAACUCAAAACGUUAAAAGGAGGCUGGAUGUUUUACAAGUCGACAGGUGGCAGUGGACGUCGCAAGCUUUCCAUAAUCCCAACAGACUCGGAGGGGCACUCAACAAGGCUCCUGAAAUCAGCCACCAACAAAAGCGUAGUGUUUGUGGUUCCACUGCAGAACCACUGCCAUAUGAUUCAGUCGAGUUCACAGAGAUGCCACAGUCAAGCUGCACAUCACAAUGCCUGAAAGCAGUUAUUCCAACAUUUGUUUUUAUUUCUCCAAUAAAUAUGUAAAUAUGUUUUUGUGCAAAUGACUGUUUCAAACAUGUAUCUAUACUACUAGCUCUUUAUUCUAGGAGACUGAAUCUCUGGUUCCCAUGGAUGAAGAAUGCCAAACUAAUCCCUACCGCAGGGAUUGGAGAAUCCUCUGAGCAGGUUUGCCCACUUUGUCUUGGAUCAUACCCAAUGAUGUCCAUGCAAGCACAUGCGGUGACAGAACUGACAUCGCUAACCGAAGCGAAGCAGACAGUCUCAUAAUUGUAAAGGAAACUUCUGUGUAGCAAUGCAGUGGGAGUCACUGACUCAUGAAGGAGACACAGGACGAGCAGGAGUUCUGAUGUCAAACACUGAGAUUUAAUACAAGCAUCGGCCGGAGAAAUUCACAUCACAAGUCACACAGUCAAAGGUUCUGACUGCACGGGUGGUUUGCCAUGUCAAAUCUGAUCAGCCUCGCAUCUUGGUAGACCUUUUAACUAGUUUACAGAGAGUUAAUCCACAUAUUGGGGAUGGGCGUAAACCAUGGCGUAAACACAUCUGCGGAGGAGAUAUCUCUCCCAUCUCUGGAGCUUAGAAGCUAGCGUUCUCACACUCGCAAGACCUCCCUAUGCCCUGUAGGUCAAGCUGUAAAACCUAGUAUCAACAUACGACUGCAUUAUCACAUUCCUUACGGGAGAUUAGAAGCAGGGAUGGUCGUACAUGUCAACACACAAAAUAAGGUUAAAUGUCUAGGAGUAAAGACAAAAUGAAUCCCUAACAAUAAUGACAGAGGAACUGCCAGGACCUUCAGUUCCACGAUUGUCAACAACAUAUUCAGCAGGUUAUUUAUUCAGAACACUUACUGCUGUGUUGUAGUUUUAAAAUAGACCACUUUUUUUGGGCUGUAAAUGGUUACUCACGAAGACCGUUACAAAACAAUGAUCCCAAAAGAAAACACUAACAAUUUUUACUAUUUCAAAUGAUGUUUUCAGCUUGGACCAGUAAAGUGGACCCAGAAAAGCACGUCAGUUGUUCAGAGAAGAACUUCUGGGCCGGAUGUCGAAGCCUUUCUCUUUUGAUUGACAUGUUUGAUACAGAAGAACAGGACAGUUCUUUUAUUUCUUUCUUCAAAAGGAAUAAUGUCAACUGGGCAGCUCCAUUGAAGUGCAGGCUGAUAGGUAUUACAAAACAUCACCUGGGUUACAUUUUGACUUUUUUGUUUGAUCUUGCAUAACGAGGGGUUUAGUGCAUGUUCUUUCACAGAAGAUAGAAUGUGUUACAUUUAUUGUAGUGGAAGCACAAAAGCCAAACGGGGUCUUAGUAACUUUUAUUUGAAUAUAAUUGAGUUGCUUGCACUUUCCACUCAUAUCCUUUAUUUCCAAGGAGACGCAGCUUCAGUAUCAAUUCAGGUGAGGUGUCACCUAUUGUCUUUUCAUGAUAAAACAUGUUUAUUGUUCCUUUAAUUGAAUGAAAUCAGGGAAUACAUAUUUUGAUGUCAGUUACAGACAAAUUGAUUGUUUUUAAUCAAUUGUGAUCAUCAAUAUCUUGUUGCUUGAGCUUCAACAUUGUAAUGGCAUUACAUGGUGUCUUUUACAUGUUUUCCUUUAUUUUCCUAUUUAGCUGCUCUUACAAGCCUUUUUGAAGGGGAAAAUGAACACCGGGUUUUGUCUAUGGUCAUUUUUAAAUAUUAUUUAAAAAAAACACAAGAUAUAUAAAACUAGAAAUGAAAAAUAAUAUAAUGAACACUUCACAUACAGAUAGCAUGCAAACACACCAAUGACAAAUGACAAAGUAUGUCAUUAAAAUUACAUAUAUUGAAUAAAUACAUGUUUCUUUAAAUAUACAGCCACAAAAUCACGUGGAGCUGCAUAAAAAUA